rnacentral:rRNA from 1 species
UAACAUGAGGGUUUGAUCCUGGCUCAGGAUGAACGCUGGCGACGUGCUUAACACAUGCAAGUCGAACGAGGUGAGAGAGCUUGCUCUCGAACCUAGUGGCGGACGGGUGAGUAACGCGUGGGCAACCUGCCUUGCAGAGGGGGAUAACACUCCGAAAGGAGUGCUAAUACCGCAUAUUUAAGAAAUUCGCAUGAAUUUCUUAUUAAAGAUUUAUCGCUGCAAGAUGGGCCCGCGUCCUAUUAGCUAGUUGGUGGGGUAGAAGCUUACCAAGGCGACGAUAGGUAGCCGGAUUGAGAGGUCGACCGGCCACAAUGGAACUGAGACACGGUCCAUACUCCUACGGGAGGCAGCAGUGGGGAAUAUUGCACAAUGGGCGCAAGCCUGAUGCAGCGACGUCGCGUGAGGGAAGAAGUUUUUCGGAAUGUAAACCUCUGUCCUAUGUGAAGAAUAAUGACGGUAGCAUAGGAGGAAGCCAUGGCUAACUACGUGCCAGCAGCCGCGGUAAUACGUAGAUGGCGAGCGUUAUCCGGAAUGACUGGGCGUAAAGGGUGCGUAGGCGGUUUGAUAAGUCAGAUGUGAAAGUCCCGUGCUUAACAUGGGGAUUGCAUUUGAAACUAUUAGACUUGAGUGCAGGAGAGGGAAGUGGAAUUCCUAGUGUAGCGGUGAAAUGCGUAGAUAUUAGGAGGAACACCAGUGGCGAAGGCGACUUUCUGGACUGUAACUGACGCUGAGGCACGAAAGCGUGGGGAGCGAACAGGAUUAGAUACCCUGGUAGUCCACGCUGUAAACGAUGAAUGCUAGGUGUGGGGAGUCAAAUCUCUGUGCCGCAGUAAACUCAAUAAGCAUUCCGCCUGGGGAGUACGGCCGCAAGGUUGAAACUCAAAGGAAUUGACGGGGGCCCGCACAAGCAGUGGAGCAUGUGGUUUAAUUCGAAGCAACGCGAAGAACCUUACCAGUACUUGACAUCCUACUAAUCUUCCAGAGAUGGAGGAGUGCCUGCUUGCAGGAAAGUAGAGACAGGUGGUGCAU